UACGGAGGGCGCAAGCGUUGUUCGGAAUCACUGGGCGUAAAGGGCGUGUAGGCGGCUUGUUAAGUCAGGUGUGAAAUCCCUGGGCUCAACCCGGGAACUGCGCAUGAAACUGAGAAGCUAGAGUCCCGGAGAGGUGGGUGGAACUCCCGGUGUAGCGGUGAAAUGCGUAGAUAUCGGGAGGAACACCAGUGGCGAAGGCGGCCCCCUGGUUGGAUACUGACGCUGAGACGCGAAAGCGUGGGGAGCAAACAGG
rnacentral:rRNA from 1 species